GACGAACGCUGGCGGCGUGCCUAAUACAUGCAAGUCGAACGAACCGCGACUAGGUGCUUGCACUUGGUCAAGGUGAGUGGCGAACGGGUGAGUAACACGUGGGUAACCUACCUCAUAGUGGGGGAUAACAGUCGGAAACGACUGCUAAUACCGCAUAGGACAUAGGAUCACAUGAUUCUGUGAGGAAAGGUGGCGCAAGCUAUCGCUAAGAGAUGGACCCGCGGUGCAUUAGCUAGUUGGUAGGGUAAAGGCCUACCAAGGCGAUGAUGCAUAGCCGACCUGAGAGGGUGAGCGGCCACAUUGGGACUGAGACACGGCCCAAACUCCUACGGGAGGCAGCAGUAGGGAAUCUUCCGCAAUGGACGCAAGUCUGACGGAGCAACGCCGCGUGAGUGAAGAAGGUCUUCGGAUCGUAAAGCUCUGUUGUUAGAGAAGAACAGCGCAUAGAGUAACUGUUAUGCGUGUGACGGUAUCUAACCAGAAAGCCACGGCUAACUACGUG
rnacentral:rRNA from 1 species